UUUUGGCAGAAUUGGCGGUGUUUAUUCCGAUUAGAGGAAUCUGUCCCAUAAUCGACAAUCCACGUUGUACCUUUCUUAGUUUUAUCAGAUAUUAUGUAUACCGUUGUCGUCAGAAUGUUUUUUAAGAAAAUUAAUUUUCUGUAAAUUUUGAAAAUUGACGUCAAAUCAAGGUGCAGUUAAUAAUUAAGUGGUGAUGGAUUACAAUAAAUUUUAUUUAUAUGAACUUUUAAAUUAUAAUUUAUUAUGAGGUGGAUUUAAUUGUAAUAUUUUAGAAUAUAAAAUAUGAAUUAAAGGCUCUAAAA
rnacentral:rRNA from 1 species